rnacentral:misc_RNA from 1 species
UGCCAAGGCGUCUUGGUCUUGGUGAAUUGUGGGUUUCCUGUGUUGCCUACCUAAGCAAUGGUAUUGCUCUGGUUGAUCCUAGUCCCUUUUCUUCUAGUGUCAUACUUAUGACAUUGGAUGAACCAUGAAGCGGUCUCUUUGACCCACCUUGUCAACCAUUGUGUUGAUUUUGUGGCUCAUUGAGCGUCGCUUGGUAUCCCGGAUACAGAACAUGAUUUGAGCAUAUGGGGUCUCAUGGGGGCUUUGUUUCCUUCUCAUUCAGCAUGUGUUCUUCUCUUUGAAUGAUUGCCUCGCCCGCAAAGGCAUGUUCCCGCGGGGUGGUAUGACAAAGAGAAUUACUCUUCCUGUUUGAUAUGGGCAUGGUGUCUCAUGUCAUCCUUGUUUUGUUCUCAUUGAGCAUAUGGGGUCUCAUGGGGGCUUUGUUUCCUUCUCAUUCAGCAUGUGUGCUUCUCUUUGAAUGAUUGCCUCGCCCGCAAAGGCAUGUUCCCGCGGGGUGGUAUGACAAAGAGAAUUACUCUUACUGUUUGAUAUGGGCAUGGUGUCUCAUGUCAUCCUUGUUUUGUUCUCAUUUAGCGUUCGCGCUUCUCUUCGAAUGACGGCCUUGCUCUUCUGGGCUUGUACCAGCGUGGGAGGCCAUGUCAAAGAGGAAUGC